rnacentral:misc_RNA from 1 species
ACCCUUGUGGAGGAGGACGCCGAAGGUGGGGCUAAUGACUGGGGUGAAGUCGUAACAAGGUAGCCGUACCGGAAGGUGCGGCUGGAUCACCUCCUAACAGGGAGACAACAAAAUGUUAAAUAUUAAUUUUGUCACCUUAGGUCGAUCGGUAUCUCACAUCCUUAAUUAUUUAAGGAUUUUAUUUCCUAAGUUUUUUCUAGGUCACACCCAUUACUUUUCCUGGGCCAUUAGCUCAGGUGGUUAGAGCGCACCCCUGAUAAGGGUGAGGUCCCUGGUUCAAGUCCAGGAUGGCCCAUAUCUCUAUGUUGGGGGUAUAGCUCAGUUGGUAGAGCGCCUGCUUUGCAAGCAGGAUGUCAGCGGUUCGAGUCCGCUUACCUCCACUGAUCACCACCUCUUCAUAAUUUAUAGAAGGGAAUUGUUUUGAGUUAUGAUCAAAUUCUGAACGAAUCUAGCUUCCUAAUGGAUUAUUAAGAUGCUGGACUCAUUGAAUUAAUUUCAUUGUUUUCAGAGAACCUUGACAACUGCAUAGAUUAUUUUAAAGACAAUAAGCAUCUUUAAUGAUGCAGAUUUAUUAUUUGUGCGAAUGCAUUAAAUAACAAUUCUAUUAAGCUGAUGCUUCAAUUUUUGAAGUUAUUGGUCAAGCUACAAAGGGCUCACGGAGGAUACCUAGGCACACAGAGGCG